rnacentral:rRNA from 1 species
UACGAAGGGGGCUAGCGUUGUUCGGAAUUACUGGGCGUAAAGAGCUCGUAGGCGGUUUGGUAAGUUGGAUGUGAAAUCUCCAGGCUCAACUUGGAGGGGUCAUUCGAUACUGCCAUGACUAGAGUUCGGUAGGGGAGUGUGGAAUUCCUGGUGGAGCGGUGAAAUGCGCAGAUAUCAGGAGGAACACCCGUAGCGAAGGCGGCACUCUGGGCCGGAACUGACGCUGAGACGCGAAAGCGUGGGGAGCGAACAGG